GCCCGGGUGGCGGAAUGGCAGACGCAGAGGGCUUAAACCCCUCGGCUGGAAACAGCGUGCGGGUUCGACUCCCGCCCCGGGCA
rnacentral:tRNA from 1 species